rnacentral:misc_RNA from 1 species
CCCAACUAUCCCUAUUAAUCAUUACGUCAAUCCUAGAAACCAACAAAAUAGGUUUGAACGUCCUAUUUCAUUAUUCCAUGCUAAUGUAUUCAAGCGUUAGCCUGCUUUAAACACUCUAAUUUUUUCAAAGUAACAGUCCUGUUUCCCUGCAACACCAAAUUAAUGGCAUUACAGUUCUUCAGAAAGGAGGAAUCAGCGAAACCAGUUCAUACCAGUGGCACGACCAACCUGCUGACCCCGAAAUUCAACUACGAGCUUUUUAACUGCAACAACUUUAAUAUACGCUAUUGGAGCUGGAAUUACCGCGGCUGCUGGCACCAGACUUGCCCUCCAA